GUCUAAGAGGCCUGAGAAAAGGGAAUCUGGUUAAAACAGUGAGAUGACAAUAUUCACUUCCAGUAAAGAGUCCAAGCCUUCUGCUCUAUUUAAACGAGGCCUGUAAUCCUUGAUAGAUGAUUUAUAAAGUUUAAGGUUUGGCAACUGAGAGCAGUUUCUCACACGACUUGUGGCUUUGCAAUCAGAGCUCUCCGAGGAGCCAUUUUUCAGUGCAGAUGAACUCAUGUUUUAGUAUUCCAUCUUCAGCUGCCUCACAAUGUUCGACAAAAAUGAUGUCCACUUAAGAAUAAUUCACACAAUAUAUGUUUUAAUACCUCAUUCAAUGGCUGUUCUUUUUGUCGUAUUAAAAAAAUAAACUGUAUGAUCACUUACAUCAGCUUUGGCAGUCAAACCCACAGUGAAGAAAUUACAUCAGUAAGAGAACUGAAGAAAAAAAAGAAAAUCUUAGCAUUAUUUUCUGGAUUUACAGCUGGAUUUAUAGCUUCACAGAGAGUUCGUUUUACAAAAACCAUGUAUCUGAUGAUGUAUGAAGAUAAAAUGCUUUCUAGCUGUUCUAAUGCUUGUUCUGCUAUUGGGAACAAAAUGUUUUUUGCUGGGCUACUCUCUGCAUCUUUGGUUUCCUCUGCUGAUGACAGUGAUUCUACAUUUGGAGUGGACUCUCAUAUGACACGACUGGAUCUAUCCGGAGCAGACACUGCCAAAGCUCAGAUCCAGACUGUUGGGAAUGCAGUUCAAAGGAAAACCUACGUGUUAAACUUGGCAGAAUAAAAUAUAGAGGAAUUAAGCAGCUGCUGACUUUAUGGAUAUGUAAUCCAUGUGAAUGUGAACUCUGCUUUUGGUAGAGAAGAUUAAAGCAGGAAUUCAUCGAGGUCAAGCAGGAAGAAAAACAACCCAGGUCAUGGCAGUCAGUGGACACUAUACCUCACACCUGGAAUUCUCACAUAUAAAGUCAAUUAAAGAGUCAGCAGAGAGGCUUAUUAUUGCCUGAGCAAUAAAACACUAGAGCUUCACCA
ensembl:lncRNA